ACGCUCGACACCUACGGGGGGCAGCAGUUGGGAAUAUUGGACAAUGGAGGAAACUCUGAUCCAGUGACGCCGCGUGAAGGAAGAAGGUCUUCGGAUUGUAAACUUAUUUUGUCAGGGAAGAAAAAUGACUGUACCUGAAGAAAAAGCACCGGCUAACUACGUGCCAGUAGCCGCGGUAAUCUGAGCGGGCUGGCAAGGC
rnacentral:rRNA from 1 species